rnacentral:rRNA from 1 species
AUUGGACGCUGGCGGCAUGCCUUACACAUGCAAGUCGAACGGCAGCACGGGGGCAACCCUGGUGGCGAGUGGCGAACGGGUGAGUAAUACAUCGGAACGUAUCCUGUAGCGGGGGAUAACCUCUCGAAAGAGAGGCUAAUACCGCAUACGACCUACGGGUGAAAGAGGGGAUCGCAAGACCUCUCACUAUUGGAGCGGCCGAUGUCGGAUUAGCUAGUUGGCGGGGUAACAGCCCACCAAGGCUACGAUCCGUAGCUGGUCUGAGAGGACGACCAGCCACACUGGAACUGAGACACGGUCCAGACUCCUACGGGAGGCAGCAGUGGGGAAUUUUGGACAAUGGGCGCAAGCCUGAUCCAGCCAUGCCGCGUGAGUGAAGAAGGCCU